rnacentral:tRNA from 1 species
GCUUUUGAAGGAUAGAAGUAAUCCGUUGGCCUUAGGAGCCAGACCCCCUUGGUGCAAAUCCAAGUAAAAGCU